rnacentral:rRNA from 1 species
AUUGAACGCUGGCGGCAUGCCUUACACAUGCAAGUCGAACGGCAGCACGGGUGCUUGCACCUGGUGGCGAGUGGCGAACGGGUGAGUAAUACAUCGGAACAUGUCCUUUAGCGGGGGAUAGCCCGGCGAAAGCCGGAUUAAUACCGCAUACGAUCUAUGGAUGAAAGCGGGGGACCGUCGGGCCUCGCGCUGUAGGGUUGGCUGAUGGCUGAUUAGCUAGUUGGUGGGGUAAAGGCCUACCAAGGCGACGAUCAGUAGCUGGUCUGAGAGGACGACCAGCCACACGGGGACUGAGACACGGCCCAGAGUCCUACGGGAGGCAGCGGUGGGGAACUUUGGACAAUGGGCGAAAGCCUGGUCCAGCAAUGUCGCGUGUGUGACGAAGGCCUUCGGGUUGUAAAGCACUUUUGUCCGGAGAGAAAUCCUUGGCUCUAAUACAGUCGGGGGGUGACGGUACCGGAAGAAUAAGCACCGGCUAACUACGUG